rnacentral:rRNA from 1 species
CGAACGCUGGCGGCGUGCUUACCACAUGCAAGUCGAACGGUGAAGCGCCUUCCUUUUUGGUGGGUGUGGAUGAGUGGCGAACGGGUGAGUAACACGUGAGUAACCUGCCCCCUUCUUCUGGAUAACCGCAUGAAAGUGUGGCUAAUACGGGAUAUUCUGGGUCUGUCGCAUGAUGGGUCUGGGAAAGAUAUUGUUUCGGUGGGGGAUGGGCUCGCGGCCUAUCAGCUUGUUGGUGGGGUGAUGGCCUACCAAGGCGGUGACGGGUAGCCGGCCUGAGAGGGUGGACGGUCACACUGGGACUGAGACACGGCCCAGACUCCUACGGGAGGCAGCAGUGGGGAAUAUUGCACAAUGGGCGCAAGCCCGAUGCAGCGACGCCGCGUGAGGGAUGGAGGCCUUCGGGUUGUGAACCUCUUUCGCCAGUGAAGCAGGCCUGCCUCGUUUGUGGGUGGGUUGACGGUAGCUGGAUAAGAAGCGCCGGCUAACUACGUG